GCCUGCACGAAGUUGGAAUUGCUAGUAAUCGCGGAUCAGCAUGCCGCGGUGAAUACGUUCCCGGGUCUUGUACACACCGCCCGUCACACCAUGGGAGCUGGUAACACCCGAAGUCAGUAGUCUAACCGCAAGGAGGACGCUGCCGAAGGUGGGAUUAGCGACUGGGGUGAAGUCGUAACAAGGUAUC
rnacentral:rRNA from 1 species